CGACUCUGAAGAACUCUUGCAUCGGCAGCCAAGUGGCAUUCGAUCAGAGUCGUCACUUUUCUGGCACCCGUUGUGCGAUGAUUGGAUGCUUGUUGUAUCGGUCCACCUGGAGGAUUCUAUGUGAAGAAGAAUACUUCGGUCACGGACGGUCCACGAUUGAGGCUGUAGUACGAGAACCGCCGGACCUCACGGUUGCCGAAAUCAGGGCAUCAGAUUCUUUCUACCUUAACUACGCUGGUUCGAUGGCAAGCGGAGUGAUCGAUGCCACACGAGCUUUUCAAGACAUUGAUGUCGAAAAUUCAGACCCUGAAAUUUGCAUGCACGCAGCAAGUUUCAUGGAUUUCAUUCACUAUCGUUGAUUAUGACCUGGAAACUUCACCCAGCGGGCGAUUGAAUCUGGUUUUGUAAUUCUCUGCAGCUGUAGCGUAAUCAUCUACCCAGCUCUGUCGUAGUUUAGCGGGAGGCAGGCUUGCAUCGUUUACAUCAGAAGGUUCGAGAUUCCCUCCUGGUAUCAAUGCAAGGUAUUUUCGAGGUUUGCGCUUGCAGAGCUCGGCAGUGUCUGGAUCGGAGCUUGUCGCUUCACCAAGACGUUCUUCGAUUGCGAGAUUGAAGUUCACUCAAGGUUUAUUGGUGUUCGAGCUGCUGACUGCUAGUGGCGAUUAAUCAUCUCGACUUUCGCAGUCAAUUUCGCGAUUUGUCGAUUGAACACCAUUUGCAUGAAGCUCUCGGAACCUCUGGCUUAACUAAGAUAUUCGAUAAGUAUUGAAAUAUGACGGUGUGAUAACAUCGGCAUCAUGUUAGCCUUUUUUCAUUUUCAGACAGCUACUCUGCUUUGAGAUGUCCUCCAGAGUAUGUUGAGACGUCGAUGUGGCAACUGAGCCAGCACACCGACCAAGUUUAUCUCACCACUCACCGUUUCCAACACCUCUACCACGCUCAAUUUCCUCGGAGCAGGUGCACAUGAAGAUGCUGCAUUUUCGGGUUAGAUUUUGUAGGCCCAAAUACAAGUUCAUUCCAUUCUCUCUUUAUGGGUUCUUUACUAGUUUCACUUCUCUUUAACCUACAUAUUUUUUUUUUUUUUUUUUUGUUUUUUUUUUUGUGUAUAAUAGUUAUUUUGCUUGAAGCUUUUUGUUUUGACAAUAGAGAGAAUUUUUUGUAUCAUAAGAAUUUUCUAUUAAUUUUGAUAAUGUCAUAUGAAUUAUUCAAUUUCUUAAGUUUUAUUUUGUUUUUGAAAUGAAUUUAAGUUUUCAGAGGU